AGCGAACGCUGGCGGCAUGCUUAACACAUGCAAGUCGCACGGGCAGCUUCGGUUGUCAGUGGCGGACGGGUGAGUAACGCGUAGGGAUUUAUCGUUGGGUGGGGGAUAACCUUGGGAAACUGGGGCUAAUACCGCAUGACGCCUGUGGGCCAAAGCAGUGAUGCGCCUGACGAGGAGCCUGCGUCCGAUUAGCUAGUUGGUUGGGUAAUGGCUGACCAAGGCGACGAUCGGUAGCUGGUCUGAGAGGAUGAUCAGCCACACUGGGACUGAGACACGG
rnacentral:rRNA from 1 species